AGUGAACGCUGGCGGUAGGCCUAACACAUGCAAGUCGAACGGCAGCACAGUAAGAGCUUGCUCUUACGGGUGGCGAGUGGCGGACGGGUGAGAAAUACAUCGGAAUCUACUUUUUCGUGGGGGAUAACGUAGGGAAACUUACGCUAAUACCGCAUACGACCUACGGGUGAAAGCAGGGGAUCUUCGGACCUUGCGCGAUUGAAUGAGCCGAUGUCGGAUUAGCUAGUUGGCGGGGUAAAGGCCCACCAAGGCGACGAUCCGUAGCUGGUCUGAGAGGAUGAUCAGCCACACUGGAACUGAGACACGGUCCAGACUCCUACGGGAGGCAGCAGUGGGGAAUAUUGGACAAUGGGCGAAAGCCUGAUCCAGCCAUACCGCGUGGGUGAAGAAGGCCUUCGGGUUGUAAAGCCCUUUUGUUGGGAAAGAAAAGCAGCAGGUUAAUACCCCGCUGUUCUGACGGUACCCAAAGAAUAAGCACCGGCUAACUUCGUG
rnacentral:rRNA from 1 species